rnacentral:rRNA from 1 species
AAGCGGCAACAGCUCAAAUUUGAAAGCUGGCUCCUUCGGAGUCCGCAUUGUAAUUUGUAGAGGAUGAUUCGGCGAGGGCUCCCGCCUAAGUCCACUGGAACGUGGCGUCGUAGAGGGUGAGAAUCCCGUAUGCGGUGGGUUGCCUUAGCCAUGUGAAUCUCCUUCGACGAGUCGAGUUGUUUGGGAAUGCAGCUCUAAAUGGGAGGUAAAUUUCUUCUAAAGCUAAAUACCGGCCAGAGACCGAUAGCGCACAAGUAGAGUGAUCGAAAGAUGAAAAGCACUUUGGAAAGAGAGUUAAAAAGUACGUGAAAUUGUUGAAAGGGAAGGGCUUGCAACCAGACUUGUCCGCAGUUGCUCAGCCGGUCUCCUGACCGGCGUACUCUUCUGCGGCCAGGCCAGCAUCAGUUCGGGCGGUCGGAUAAAGACCUAGGGAAUGUAGCUCCUCUCGGGGAGUGUUAUAGCCCUGGGUGGAAUGCGGCCAGCCUGGACUGAGGAUCUCGCUUCGGCUAGGAUGCUGGCGUAAUGGUUGUAAGCCGCCCGUCUUGAAACACGGACCAAGGAGUCUAACAUCUAUGCGAGUGUUUGGGUGUCAAACCCAUACGCGUAAUGAAAGUGAACGGAGGUGGGAACCCGCAAGGGCGCACCAUCGGCCGAUCCUGAUGUCUUCGGAUGGAUUUGAGCAAGAGCAUAGCUGUUGGGACCCGAAAGAUGGUGAACUAUGCCUGAAUAGGGUGAAGCCAGAGGAAACUCUGGUGGAGGCUCGCAGCGGUUCUGACGUGCAAAUCGAUCGUCAAAUUUGGGUAUAGGGGCGAAA